GAUGAACGCUGGCGGCGUGCCUAAUACAUGCAAGUCGAGCGAACGGACGAGAAGCUUGCUUCUCUGAUGUUAGCGGCGGACGGGUGAGUAACACGUGGAUAACCUACCUAUAAGACUGGGAUAACUUCGGGAAACCGGAGCUAAUACCGGAUGAUAUUUUGAACCGCAUGGUUCAAAAGUGAAAGACGGUCUUGCUGUCACUUAUAGAUGGAUCCGCGCUGCAUUAGCUAGUUGGUAAGGUAACGGCUUACCAAGGCAACGAUGCAUAGCCGACCUGAGAGGGUGAUCGGCCACACUGGAACUGAGACACGGUCCAGGCUCCUACGGGAGGCAGCAGUAGGGAAUCUUCCGCAAUGGGCGAAAGCCUGACGGAGCAACGACGCGUGAGUGAUGAAGGUCUUCGGAUCGUAAAACUCUGUUAUUAGGGAAGAACAUAUGUGUAAGUAACUGUGCACAUCUUGACGGUACCUAAUCAGAAAGCCACGGCUAACUACGUG
rnacentral:rRNA from 1 species